rnacentral:rRNA from 1 species
UACGUAGGGGGCAAGCGUUGUCCGGAAUUAUUGGGCGUAAAGAGCGCGUAGGCGGUCCGAUAAGUCGGCUGUGAAAGUCAGGGGCUCAACCCUUGAAAGCCGGCCGAUACUGUCGGACUAGAGUCCGGAAGAGGCAAGCGGAAUUCCCGGUGUAGCGGUGAAAUGCGCAGAUAUCGGGAGGAACACCAAUGGCGAAGGCAGCUUGCUGGGACGGUACUGACGCUGAGGCGCGAAAGCGUGGGGAGCAAACAGG